rnacentral:tRNA from 2 species
ACCCUUUUAGCUCAGUGGUCGAGCGUUGGCUUUGGAAGCCAUAGGUCGGUGGUUCGAGCCCACCAGGGCA